CCAAAAACCUGAUGCAAAUGGCCACUUUUCUUCAGCUGCCUAUAACCAAAUGCAACUACAUUAACCACAGCACAGGAGUGGAGUGUGACGGCCGUCCUCCUUUCAAUGUCCAGUGGCGUGUGCGAGGCACUGCGGUUAUAUUGGAGUGGUUUUGCCCACACCAACACAAGUUGUGGAUCUGGAACAGCCAACCUUUGUUCAAACAUGGGAUGCAAGGAGGGGACUUUAUGCUUGCAUCAAAUAUUCUAAUGUCUGGGAAUAAUUACUCCAAGAUUGCCCUCCUCUUCAAAUAUAUGAACAUCAAAAUGGUGUCAUCUUCAACACACUAUGGGAUACAACAUUUUACUGCGUGCCAGCUGUAAGGGACUUUUGGACAGAGAAGAGGGGUCUCAUUAUCAACCGAUUAUAGACUAAAGACAGUGUGGUUGUCCUUGCUGACGGACGAAUGGACUCCCCAGGACACUCAGCCAUGUAUUGCACAUACACUACAAUGGAGCUGGAGAGCCAUGACAUCAUAAGCGUUGUCACUGUUGAUAAAAGACAUGUUGGUAGGAAGAGCACGUCUAUGGAGAAGGAUGCCUUUAUCAAAACAUUUGAUGUCCUUUUGAGGGAGUUGAACAUCAAAGAAAUAGUGACUGACGCACAUGUGCAGAUUGCUUCACUCAUGCAUCCAGAAAAGGGGAGAUACAAGGAGAAGGGUGUUUUACAUUCCCUUGACGUCUGGCAUGCUGCAAAGAAU